rnacentral:rRNA from 1 species
CCAGGAAAGAUUUAUCGCUUUUGGAUCGGCCUGUUCGGUAUCAGCUAGUUGGUAGGGUAAUGGCCUACCAAGGCAAUGACGCCUAGGGGAGCUGAGAGGCUGACCCCCAUCGAUGGGACUGAGACACGGCCCAUACACCUACGGGUGGCUGCAGUCGAGAAUAUUCGACAAUGGAGGAAACUCUGAUCGAGCGACGCCGCGUGCAGGAAGACGUACUUCGGUAUGUAAACUGCUUUUGUAGACUACUAAGUUUUGAAGAGUCUAAGAAUAAGAGGUUGCUAAACUCGUGCCAGCAGCAGCGGUAAUACGAGUGCCUCAAGCGUUAUCCGGAAUUAUUGGGCGUAAAGGGUAUGUAGGUGGUUUUGUUAGUCUUUUGUUAAAACUCUCGGCUUAACCGAGAGGCUGCAAAGGAAACGGCAAGACUUAGAGUAUGCGAGGGGUCUGCGGAACUCAUGGUGUAGCAGUGAAAUGCGUUGAUAUCAUGGGGAACACCAAAAGCGAAGGCAGCAGACUGGAGCAUUACUGACACUGAAAUACGAAAGCGUGGGUAGCGAAUGGGAUUAGAUACCCCAGUAGUCCACGCCCUAAACGAUGUUCUCUAGAUUUUCGGAGUAUCGACCCUCUGAGAGUCACAGCUAACGCGUUAAGAGAACCGCCUGGGUAGUACGACCGCAAGGUUAAAACUCAAAGGAAUUGACGG